AGGACGAACGCUGGCGGCGUGCUUAACACAUGCAAGUCGAACGGGAUAGGUGGAAAGGCUCGGCCGAAGACUAAUCGAGUGGCGGACGGGUGAGUAACGCGUGAGCAACCUGCCCCAGACAGGGGGAUAACACUUGGAAACAGGUGCUAAUACCGCAUAAGACCACGGGGUCACAUGGCCCUGGGGUAAAAGGAGCAAUCCGGUUUGGGGUGGGCUCGCGUCCGAUUAGAUAGUUGGUGAGGUAACGGCCCACCAAGUCAACGAUCGGUAGCCGACCUGAGAGGGUGAUCGGCCACAUUGGAACUGAGAGACGGUCCAAACUCCUACGGGAGGCAGCAGUGGGGAAUAUUGGGCAAUGGGCGAAAGCCUGAACCCCCAGCAACGCCGCGUGAGUGAAGAAGGCCUUCGGGUUGUAAAGCUCUGUUAUGAGGGACGAAGGAAGUGACGGUACCUCAUAAGGAAGCCCCGGCUAACUACGUGCCAGCCGCUGC
rnacentral:rRNA from 1 species